UCAUCUGAAUACAUUAAUCGACAUCUCUUAAGAAUGAACCAACACCGACAUUUUUCAGCAAGAUAUGAUAUUUUAACUCAUCCAAUGAAGAAACUCUUAAGAGACUUGUGAAUAAGCUUAAAAAAUCACCUCAAGAGGUUUUUGAUUCAUUGAAAAAUCAAACAGUUGAUUUAGUGUUCACUGCUCAUCCAACUCAAGCUAUUAGGAGAUCUUUGCUUCAAAAACAUGGAAGACAAGAAACUACUAAGGGGGAGGGCGACUACAUGGGCAUGCAUUAGCGGCAGAAGAUUUCGUGAAUUAUUGAAUAAAACCGGAAGCUUUAUGAACUCCUUUAAGUUUUUUUUCUGUAAUGUAUGUUUUUAGACUUGGCAUACAUGUUUGUUCUUAAACACAUUCCGCAAACAAAGUUUCCUGUGCUAUGCACGCCUUAAAUUUUGUGUGGCCGGCUUAUGGUACAAGCUCUUAUGACGUUUUGUAUGGCU